CCAGUCCUCUCAAAGACGGAGAAUACACCAGCCUAUAUUAUAAUAUUAGGGAGCCAUUAGGGAGCCAAAAGACUUCAAUGGAAGUGGUAAUAUGAUGAUUCUUAUUCAAGAAACCAAGAAGCCAUACUCCCAAAAUUUCCAAGUAGUGUUGUAAAAGGCAGUAAAGUGCACCAGGCAAGGCAAGUUGAGGCCCCAACGCCUUGCCUAACUGAGGCGAGGCAACUGAGAAAAGGCAAGCGCCUAAGUCCUUCGAGGCGA
rnacentral:misc_RNA from 1 species